GUUCAAUAUUUGAACUCUGUUUGUGAUUGGUCAAUAUUUAUGCGAUUCUUUUUAUUGGUUAACCGAUGAGCGUCAGUUAACCAAUGAAAAGACUCGCAUAAAUUUAGACCAAUCACAAACAGAGUUCAAAUAUUGAAC
rnacentral:miRNA from 1 species